CUCAAAUUUGUCGUCAGGCUGGACUUGUGAAGCGGUUGGAAAAGACUGAGAACUUAAUUCAGGAGGUAAAUCAUUUGCCCCAUUACCACCACCAC
rnacentral:sRNA from 1 species